GGGUCAAUAGGUUGGUCGUGCCACCGGUACGUACUGGUCUCACUGAUUCCUCCUUCCUGAAGAACCGUAAUGCCAUUAAUUUGGUGUAGCGGGGAAACAGGACUGUUACUUUGAAAAAAUUAGAGUGUUUAAAGCAAGCUAACGCUUGAAUACAUUAGCAUGGAAUAAUGAAAUAGGACGAUCGAUCCUAUUUUGUUGGUUUCUAGGAUUGACGUA
rnacentral:rRNA from 1 species